rnacentral:lncRNA from 10 species
UUCCCCAGUCACCUUAUAAUGUAACCAGUUGGCUGUGCUGCAGUGAUUGGAAAGAGGUACAGCUCAUCACUGGUCAGAGAAGACUUCUAGUAUGAGCCCGUCCUGAACAUGAGGAGUACAGAGGAGUCUUCAAAAAUGUUGGUUUGCUUUUUCCAUCAAUCACCUGUCCAUCUUAACAGUGACCAACUCGUUCCAUCUUAACAGUAACCACUUCUGUUGAGCAACCAGGAGUUCCUUCCCUUUCUUGCCUUCCACUUCAAUUCAUUUCUCACCUCCCUUCAGUUUUUCUACCCCAACCUCACCCACCCCCAGGACUCCUCGUUUAUUUCAAAGGGGGCAAAUAUACCUGCCCUGCAACACUGAGAUAGAAAGUGCUUCCUCCAAAUACGGCAGACCAGUGUCUCCUUGCUUGUGUUUGUCAUUAAUACUUUUCCUGGGUAAUGUACAUGCAGUCUUUGCUAAAGCACAACUGCCCAGGCCCUACUUACCAAGGCUUCUUCUGUGCUGGAGAAAGAGUAAGGGAAUAGAGAAGAGGGAAAAUGAGGUCCUGCCACCAUCUCAAUGCUUUUGGUGCUGCGCUUUCAAUGGAUGCUGAGUGGGACUUGUGUGUCCCAAAGAUGGGAUACUUCACUCUCUCCUGAGUGCUUUGAACAUUCCUGAGCGACCUUUGGGCUAGAUGUUACCUGAGCAUUCUUCCUUUUGUUAAAGUGGUCAGUUUCCCCCAGCUGUGAAUAGAGCCGAUCUGCCCACUUUCUCAUCAACUCUCCAGUGCUGGGAUUUCUAUACAUGUUUGUCUAGGAGAAUUCUAACUGCUGUGGGCAUCAUUGUGGAUUGCAGGGGUGGGGGGUGGGGGUGGUUCCUAUGGAAACAAUAAUGAAAAUACAAACAAGAAUGUGAUUCAUUUUAAACUCUGUGGUGCAGGGUACAAUUGAAAGGGCUGGGCAGACAGGAGUAGUGAGGGAAGGGGAGAUGUGGGCUGGGCCUUCAAGGAUGACUGCAAUCUCACACGAGAAGGCAAGGUGGGAGGGAGAAACUGAGGCAGCUAUGCGAAGGUCAGGAGGUCAGAAUGUGCAGAUUCAUGGGAAGGCUGUGAUUAAAUUGGGUUACAUGAAGAUGAGAGUAGAAUAAGGCUAGGCAGAUAGGAUGGAGACAGAUCUCACCCAUCUCCGGAAGCCAGGCUGAGGGCAAACUAGGGGCUUUAGGCUUGGGAUGCUUAAACCCCAGCCUCCUUCAAUACGGAGUGUGUUUCUGGAAAGUCAGUGCUACACAAAUAUUUGGGGCAAAUCUAUUGAUUAAUUGAUUGAUUGAGACAGAGUCUCACUCUGUUGCCCAGGCUGGAGUGCAGUGGUGGAGUCUCGGCUGGUCAAUUCAGGUCUGGGUACUAACUGAGUCAAAAUAUAGCAAAAUGGAAUGAAGGGGACCACAGACCGAUCAAAGCAGGCAGCAGCGAAGAAUGUGCGCAGCGUGUCCACAUAGGUGUGUGCCUGCACGCACAUUUGCAUAAGGAAGGGGCUGGAAGGGUCUGCGCCAUGGAAACAAGAAAUUUUUAUUUAUUUAUUUUUUUGGUUGGAGUCUUGCUCUGUCACCCAGGCUGUAGUGCAAUGGAGUGAUCUCGUCUCACUGCAACCUCCGGCUUCUGGGUUCAAGGGAUUCUCCUGCCUCAGCCUCCUGAGUAGCUGGGACUACAGGUGUGUGCCAUCACGCCAGGCUAAUUUUUAUAUUUUUUGUAGAGACGGGACUUCACCAUGUUGGCCAGGCUGGUCCCUCGGCCUCCCAAAGUGCUGGGAUUACAGGUGUGAGCCACUGCACCGAGCCCAAAUCAUUUCUUUAACUCAUAUAUCAAAGUUGAUACAUUUUGGAGUAGAAUAGAAAGUCCACAUGAUUUGAAUAAUAAAGCAUGCACAUUUGAAGAAAUUCUGGCUUGUGGCAGAUCACUUGGAUGACACCUUCACAUUCGCAGGUCCUCUCUUACAGAGCAGCAUAAAUCAGUGGAACAGUUUGAGAAUUUCCUUAGGCAACAAUUUCCCGCAGCUGUGCCCCUAUGUCCAGAGCAGCUUUCCUGCCCCUCUGAGCAUCUUCAGGUCCCACCCCAAGAGCGGAUGUAACAUCUGGUCUAGGACAGCCAAGUGGCUAUGCAUCACAAGAAUAUUGACCCAUGCCAAGACAUUCCUGCUAUUGUCACUAGGCUUAACAUCAAGGGCAGGACAUCUGCGUCUUCUUUUGUAGGUUUAUUUGCCAUCAUUCUCUCAACAGCCUUAGAAACAAUGAUCACUCUGCUUUAUAAAUGAGGAAAUGGUGUGUGGCAGGUGUUGUAAACACAUGUUCAAUGGGUUCUUUCAAGAAAGCAGCUAUGUUAGAACGUGGGUCCUGUCUGGCAGGGGUCCAACAGCUGUCUCCAUGUGUGCAGACCUUUAUUCUAGAAGGGUGCUUCACACUACACAUGGCCUGCCAGCCUCACAGAAGGCAAGCUGACCUUCUUAAUUCAGCUCCCCUACCCCUGUCAAUUGUUGCAUCGCUGGAUAAUAUUUCAUGACAUCUUUCAGCUGCAUAUUUCUUAUGAAGAAUUUAACUGAAGUAAAACAGAAUUUAGGUGGGCAAUCUAGCUUUGCAAGUCUCUCUCUACCUCUCCAUCUGUCCCUGUCUCUGUCUUCCUCUUUCUCUUUUUCAGAUUAUUUACAACUCUGGCUCACUAAUAAAUGUGAUUGUGAUUUAAAGAAACAAAAUCACCUGCUUUAUUCAUCAGGGUAUGUUAAAUAAUAAAAUAUCCUUACUGUUUUCAAACCUCAUGAAGCCUGUAUAUUCUAAUACCAACUUUCUAAAGACUCAUUAAUAAUUAAUGAAAUCAUUAAGAAUGGUUCAUGUUGACUGACACCCUCCUGGCAGCCACAGUCUCCUCUUACGCUUUGUCAAAAUGUCACUGGCUCCACAGGUUUGAUUUUCAUGGUGGGAGUGGGGGUGUGGGUGGAGGGGGAGGGAGUUUGAUUUCACAACAGCUAUCAGCUAGAACAGAAAGCUAUGAAAAUGUUCUUCCAAGUUUCUCUACUUAGGAGACUGUGCUGGGAGAAGUUUUCUGAACAACCUUUCAUUCUUCCAAUGCUAGGUUCAAGAAAUCCUGCUAAUAUUAUGUUUUCAUUGAAAUGGUAUUGUAGGGCUGAAGUCAAUAAGCAAAGAUGUAGUGUUGAAAGUCACCCCCUUUGUUUUCCUCUUGUUUUCACACAUUUUCCUCUUUCUUGGCAUUGCCUAGAUUUAUUCUCCUCUUCUCCCUUUUAGAAACAGAAUUUGGCAUAAAUAAAUGAUAACUGAGAAAAUGGCAUACACGGACAAGUAAAUGCAAGAUUUCUCCAGCCUCCCACGGGCUUGAAAUGUAUUUAGGGAAGCCAGGCAUGUAUGCAUGAAAUAGAAAGUCACCAUACAAGGCAGUGGGGCACCUGCCAUUUGCUGCAGAGGACGCAGCUGAAGAUAAGGACUACAGCCAUUCAAGGCCCCAGGGGAGGCCAGGGCAGGACUGGGACCAGAGCCUCACCAAAGACAUGGAGAUCCUAGGAUAAGAAGGCUGAAGGGUUAGUUUCUGGAUCAUCUGAAAUUUGAUAUUUUAAAAGCUUUCUUUAAAAGACGCUUUUAUAAUUCUCUCUUAAAAAAUUCAGCCCAUUUUGUCCUUUGCCAUUUUUGAAUUGGGUUAUAGGUCUUGUACUUAUUGAUUUAUAAAAGCUCUUUCAUUUUAGAAACAUUAAUAAUAAAUAUUUUACCUAGUUAAGAAAAUUUAGCUGCCAAGUGAUGUCUUUUCCAUAUGGUGACAAAUACAUUAAGGAGAGGGGAAGGUCAAAAUUUGUGCUUUAUGAUUUCUUCUUAAUUUUUAAAAAUUUUUAAUUUUAUGGGAACAUAGUGGGUGUAUAUAUUUAUGGGGUACACGAGAUAUUUUGAUACAGGCAUGCAAUGUGUAAUAAUCACAUUAGGGUAAAUGGGGUAUCUGGCACCUCAAGCAUUUAGCAUUUCCUUUUGUUACAAACAAUCCAAUUGUACUCUUUCAGUUAUUUUAAAAUGUACAAUAUGUUUUGCUGACUGUAAUAACCCUGUUGUGCUGUCAAAUACCAGAUCCUAUUCAUUCUAUCUAACUCUAUUUUUGUACCUAGUAACCAUUCCACCCCCGCCCCUUCCUAGCCUCUGGUAACCAUCAUUCUAUUCUCUCUGUCCAUGAGUUCAAUUGUUUUAAUUUUUAGCUCUCACAAAUGAAUGAAAACAUGUGAAGUUUGUCUUUCCAUGCCUGUUUUAUUUCAUUUAACAGAAUGUCCUCCAGUUCCAUCCAUGGUGUUGUAAAUGACAGGAUCUCAUUCCUUUUUAUGGCUGAAUAGUACUCCACUACGCAUAUGUACCACAUUUUCUUCAUCUAAUUUAUCUGUUGAUGGACACUUACAUUGCUUCCAGAUCUUGUCUAUUGUGAACAGAGCUGCAAUAAACAUGGCAGUGCAGGAA